rnacentral:lncRNA from 1 species
AUGGUUUCAAGGCACUUAAACAUGUUCCUGCUUGUUAUGCUUUUUUCUGUUUCUGGAUUUACUGAAGAAAAAUCUCUGCUUUGCAGAUCAGAUGACCUGGAUAUUUUCUAUUCCUUCUGUGGUACUGGUAAAAAUACAUUCUCCUUUAAAGUGGAACCAUGUUCAUUAAAGAAUAAUUCAGUAUGGAAAGGGUUUAUGUUCUGGAUUCCAAGUAAGUUAUUUUUCUGUUUCAGAUAAACCAGUCUCAUUCUUGUACAUUAUUAUAAUGAGAUGUACUUCAAUCCUUUCCCCC